UCUAUUUUUUAGUUAAAACAGAUAUGAUGCAUGUGCAACUGUACAUGCCAAGUUCUGAAGCUCAUAUGUUCCGUACAUAGUUUUAGUUAUGAAGCAAAUAGCUCAAGAUAUUUCAGAUUGGAAGAACUUAGUCUGUGACGUGUGAUGUUUUCUAAUGGCACUAAAUACUGUAUAAUUUAAGAUAUGAAUCAUUAAAAUUUGUUUUACUCAUACAAAACAGAAUGUGUCAUGAUAAUGUAAGCAUGCAACAUUGUACAACCAUAUAAUCUGUCAUUACUUUUUUUUGGGAACCAUAAGCAUGCAACAUUAUACUACCAAAAUAAUAAUUUGACUAUACAUUUGAUUAUUGCUUGCAUCCAUAUAUUUUUUCACUUUCGCUUUUGUUUUGUGUCCAGUAAACAGCAUCAAUCAUAGGGUAGGAAAGGCGCGCCAAGGCAUCGCCAAAGCCCAAGCCCGAGACUCCGGCCAAUCGAACUCGGCAGCCCCCGUCUUGGCGAUCUCGCGACUCUGGCCAUGUAGGAGCUCGGUCAAAAAUCACCUAAGAAAAAUAUGUCGUUCUUCUCUACAAGGGUUGCAUGUGGAAUCUGAGGAGAAUCUGUGCACCAGCGUCCGACUCCUUGAUGUUGCUCUGAUCAUAUUGUGUAAAUAUAUUUCUAAUAAAGCAAUCGCCCGAUGGUGUACAUGUUAGAAAUAACAAGAUGUAAUCAUCAAGUGUGAGAGAUGGCAACAUCAUGAUGGGAUGGUAUGUACUGUUGUGCUCAUCAAUAGAGUUAGAUCACUUU